GUCUUUUCUCGCUUUGGUCAAGUUAUUGAGUUUUUACCAUGUUCGGAGUGUUUCAUCGUUAAUACUAUGAGAAGGACUGCAUUCAGAAACAACUUGGCAGACCAGGUCCACAAGUCCUGACCUCAUCCUUCGAGAUGUGGUGGCACCUAGGUAGUCAAGAAAUGAAUCCCAGGUCCGGUAGAAUACGAAGGGUUUGUCCUUCAAUGCUGCAGAGAAAGCCUCAAACGCACUGCAGCUUGAUACCUUGAAUUACACUUACCGAAUAGUGAUGAACUUCCUCCGAAGGAGACAAAGUGA